rnacentral:misc_RNA from 1 species
AAAGCCAAAUAUGAGACUUUCAGAAUCUGCAAAAACAAGAAAGCAACACUCAGCACCAAAAGCCAGCUACCAGCCACAAGAAAGAAACAGAAAUCAAAUUCAGAAUCUCAAUUACGAGUUCAACAGUAAUUAUCUUGAAUCCUAAUUGUAUCAGGCAAAGACCUUACUUUCUCACCAAGCUUUCCCUUUUUCUUUUUUCUUUUUUUUUUUUUUUU